rnacentral:misc_RNA from 1 species
GAAAUGCGAUAAGUAGUGUGAAUUGCAGAAUUCAGUGAAUCAUCGAAUCUUUGAACGCACAUUGCGCCCCUUGGUAUUCCAUGGGGCAUGCCUGAUCGAGCGUCAUUUGUACCCUCAAGCUCUGCUUGGUGUUGGGUGUUUGUCCCCGUCUCCGCGCGUGGACUCGCCCCAAAGUGAUUGGCAGCCGGCGUACUGGUCCCGGAGCGCAGCACAUGUCGCGCAAACGAGUGCCUUGGUACGGCGGCGUCCAUAAGCCCCUCUCUCACGCUCUUGACCUCGGAUCAGGUAGGGAUACCCGCUGAACUUAAGC